rnacentral:lncRNA from 1 species
CUUGGCAGAGCCUCCCCCGCCCGCAGGGUGAGGCCCCGGGCAGGACGCGGCGUCAGCCCCACGCACAAACGCGAACUGUUCGCCCGCGCAGCUGGCGCGCUCUCAGCGGUCCCCGCGGCUCCCCGCGGCUCCCCGCUGCUCCCCGCUGCUCCCAGCCGCGGGGGCGGAGCCCGCGGGGGCCACGCCCCAGAUGAAUAUUCAAGCAGGCCCCGCCCGCGAGCCCGAGCCCGGGACCCGGGCGCCCCUGGAGGGGUUGGGGGGAGGAAGGGCCUGCCCCGGAGGGCAGCGAGGGAGGGAACGGCCGGGGACCCGGGCGCGGGGCGGCUGGCGCGGGCGAGGUCGGGCGAGGUCGGGCUGGGGAGGGCCUGGGUGCACCUUGCGGCCCCGCCCGACCCACGGGCACCAACCACGGGCACCAACCACGGGCACCAACCACGGGCACCCGAGCGCUCUUCCUAGCCCUGGGAACCGUGCACACCAAGAGAGGGCUUCGGCUGUGUUCACUGCUACUUCGUUAACAACGUGCCUCUCUGCAAACGGACCGGUUCCUAAAGAAAGAUUUUUCAUUGGCCCAGCGUGGGUCAGGGGAGCUUCCUCAAUCAAAGGUGGAGAAACUCCAGGACCAGCCAGCCUGGUGCACCUGCGUUACAACAACAAAACCAACAACUUGAUGGAUGUAGGGAGCAAGUAUGCAGGUAAGCAUAUAAACCACAUUACUUCCAUGAUCAAAAAUAUAAAGGGUUUUCUCUCUCUCAUUCAUUGGGGAAUGAGAAGUUUUGCCCACAGGGCCACCAGGGAUGGGAGCAGGAGUCUAUUGAAAAUAAAAGCAUCUUUAUCUUUUAAGCAAAACUAAGAAAUGAUGGAGUCAAGAAUUACAGCAAAUUUAAAUAAUAUGUAAGUUGCCACUGGAUGCUUGGCUCCAUUAUGCAUUUUAAUCCAUAGAAAUGGAAACAGAAGAAGGUGCUAAAUUUAGGUAAGGGCUAACACAAGAUUUUUCUAGAGCCCAGAUUUCAUGUAAUGAGAGCUUGUUUUGACACUGCAGAUCUCCCCCAUCAUACCAAGCGAGAGCCCUCUGAGGUACCAGAUUGCUGUUGGUAAAUAGGUAGCAACAAGCUGGCAGCUUCCCUUCACCUGCCUGUGACCUGGUGUAGUCUGAAGAGGGGUAACUGAGUUUGUUGCCAACCAGCAGUACCACCACACCAUUUCCCUUGGUCAUGAAGCAACAGCCAUGAGGUUAUAUCUAAGUUGAAGAGAGAAUAUUUGGGGGGUAUUUUUGCUUUGCUUGGUUUUAUAUUAAUAUUCAAGGGCCUGAAAUUGAUUAAGAUAUGGAGCUAAGGGAGGAGCGGUCAAGAUUAGAGCUUUGAGAGGCUCCUGAUGGAUGGGACUGUCUUGCUACUAAGGCACGGCUAUGCUUUUCUUGAGGUUCCUGCCCAUCACAUUUUUCA